UAUUCUAGAGUUUGAUCAUGGCUCAGGAUGAACGCUGGCGGCGUGCCUAAUACAUGCAAGUCGAGCGAACAGAUAAGGAGCUUGCUCCUUUGACGUUAGCGGCGGACGGGUGAGUAACACGUGGAUAACCUACCUAUAAGACUGGGAUAACUUCGGGAAACCGGAGCUAAUACCGGAUAACAUAUUGAACCGCAUGGUUCAAUAGUGAAAGGCGGCUUUGCUGUCACUUAUAGAUGGAUCCGCGCCGUAUUAGCUAGUUGGUAAGGUAACGGCUUACCAAGGCAACGAUACGUAGCCGACCUGAGAGGGUGAUCGGCCACACUGGAACUGAGACACGGUCCAGACUCCUACGGGAGGCAGCAGUAGGGAAUCUUCCGCAAUGGGCGAAAGCCUGACGGAGCAACGCCGCGUGAGUGAUGAAGGUCUUCGGAUCGUAAAACUCUGUUAUCAGGGAAGAACAAAUGUGUAAGUAACUGUGCACAUCUUGACGGUACCUGAUCAGAAAGCCACGGCUAACUACGUGCCAGCAGCCGCGGUAAUACGUAGGUGGCAAGCGUUAUCCGGAAUUAUUGGGCGUAAAGCGCGCGUAGGCGGUUUUUUAAGUCUGAUGUGAAAGCCCACGGCUCAACCGUGGAGGGUCAUUGGAAACUGGAAAACUUGAGUGCAGAAGAGGAAAGUGGAAUUCCAUGUGUAGCGGUGAAAUGCGCAGAGAUAUGGAGGAACACCAGUGGCGAAGGCGACUUUCUGGUCUGUAACUGACGCUGAUGUGCGAAAGCGUGGGGAUCAAACAGGAUUAGAUACCCUGGUAGUCCACGCCGUAAACGAUGAGUGCUAAGUGUUAGGGGUUUCCGCCCCUUAGUGCUGCAGCUAACGCAUUAAGCACUCCGCCUGGNGAGUACGACCGCAAGGUUGAAACUCAAAGGAAUUGACGGGGACCCGCACAAGCGGUGGAGCAUGUGGUUUAAUUCGAAGCAACGCGAAGAACCUUACCAAAUCUUGACAUCCUUUGACUGCUCUAGAGAUAGAGUCUUCCCCUUCGGGGGACAAAGUGACAGGUGGUGCAUGGUUGUCGUCAGCUCGUGUCGUGAGAUGUUGGGUUAAGUCCCGCAACGAGCGCAACCCUUAAGCUUAGUUGCCAUCAUUAAGUUGGGCACUCUAAGUUGACUGCCGGUGACAAACCGGAGGAAGGUGGGGAUGACGUCAAAUCAUCAUGCCCCUUAUGAUUUGGGCUACACACGUGCUACAAUGGACAAUACAAAGGGCAGCUAAACCGCGAGGUCAAGCAAAUCCCAUAAAGUUGUUCUCAGUUCGGAUUGUAGUCUGCAACUCGACUACAUGAAGCUGGAAUCGCUAGUAAUCGUAGAUCAGCAUGCUACGGUGAAUACGUUCCCGGGUCUUGUACACACCGCCCGUCACACACGGUACCAU
rnacentral:rRNA from 1 species